rnacentral:sRNA from 1 species
GUCAGGCAUGGUGGCACUUGCUUGUAAUCCCAGUGACUCUGGAGGCUGAGGUGGAAGGAUUGCUUGAGCCCAGAAACUCAGGGAUGCCCUGGGCAACACAGCAAAACUGUCUCUU